GCCCUCAUCGUAUAACGGUUAGUACGUGGGUCUCAUAUCGAGAAAAAUGAGGGCUCUAUGAGCUCAUAACCCCCUCCAUCCCGAAAUCUCAGUUCGAUUCUGAGUGAAGGCA